CAAAAGCAUAAACAAAGUGAUUCAGACCUACCCUGCAACCUGAGAUGGCAGAUAAAGAAAUGACAUAACCAAAUCUAUAGCCUGUAUGAAACAAGUAGAUUCCAGUCUCGUUGCUGGAUCGCUGGAACCCAUAUGAAGGCUUCAACUGUGAAUCAAGAGGCUCCUAAAUCAUGAGAAAAUUGCUUUGACACUGCUGGGCAAUUUGCAUUUGACGUUGGGCUGCGGCUGGUGCUUGUAGUGAAUAGACUGAAGGAGAAUGCAAAGCAUCUAAAUAUCAGCGUGCUUGCUCAUUGCUCAACCUGUUAAAUAUUCAUAGUCCAUGAUAUUUAAAAAAUGCCUUCAUGUUGCUGAUUGUUCGCUUGUUUUGCCAAAUUGAUAUAGGAACAAAUUCUAUUACAUGGACAUCAAACUGAGCAAUUUCUAUCAAUUUUAAAAUUGUUCCACACUGUUGAAGAUGUAAUGUUAUAAGCACAAUUCUUAAGUAUGUCGCUUGCAUUAUCUUCUGUGCUAUCAUGAAACUAUGCUGGGAAAUGCAGACAUACAUGGUUCUGCAUUGUAAACUGUGAUUCAUCAUAAUUAUUGAUGACUGGACUAUUGAAGAUUUAAAAUUUUCCAAAUAAAUAUGAAUAAUUUUA